GCUCCUCCAUCUGAGUCAGUCACUGCAGCCUGCUUUGCCUGAGACAGGCAUUCCAGCUGGCAGAAACUAAGAAAAGCAGGUGAAAUGUCUUAUCUCCUCCUUCACUUGAUGGCUAACCUAUCUUCUCACACGACACUGGACAAUACAACAAUGGAGAUUAGGGCUCAUUCAUGUGUAUGGAGACAAAGGAGACUCUUGGGGAGUGGGUGGCAUCAAAUGGAGGAAGCUGGUGGAGAGAAGAUGCAAUGUGUGAAGGGCCUGGGAUCAAAGUGAGUGCUUAGGCUGAACAACAAAUGAGAACUACCUGAAGGACCAUCACAUCUGAAGAAGUAAAUUCUGGCAUGACAGUCAGAUAAAAAAGGCAGGUUACUUUCUGGUUAUAGUUUGUUUAUUGCCACUUAGCCAGUGGGCGGGGGGUAUUUUGAGGACAAAGAUUGUGUCUCCAGAGUCCACCUGUGGCACUCAAUACAUGCCGGCACAAGAACUGUGACAAUCUGCGCUCGGGUCCUCUGAGCAGGAUGGGGCCUUUGUAAUGGGUCCAUUCAACAAAUACUUACAGAGGCCCUACCACAUCCCAAGCGUGCUCCGUUCUAGGUCCUAACUAGGACACAACAACAAACGGGACAUACAAGGCCUCUAUUCUCACAGGGCUUAGUGAGAAGAGAGAAACAGGCAACAAACAAGAUGAAUGUCAUAGAGAUCUACACAGAAUUCAAUAGGCUGCUAUGAUAGCAAGUGGCUGGCUGUUUCUUGGUCUGUACUGAGCAGACAAACGCAGCCUCUCUGAGGAAAGGUAUUUAGGGUAAGAGCCGAGUGACAAGACAAGCCCAGCCAUGGAAUGAUGAGGUAGAGGAGCACUGAAGCAGAGGACACAGCUAGGGUGGGAAGCAGCUGGCACAUGGGGAUAGCUGCAGUGUGGUGGGAGAGGAGAGCGGGGAAGCUGGGCCUUAUUAGGUUUAAUCCACAAGCCAGGCUGGAACAGCCAUCUCUGCAGUCAGCUUUAUGGAGUGCAGAAAAUCUAUGUCAGCAGCAAGUUACACAGCCGCAAUGAGAAGUUGCUAUUUGCUGCGUGCUCUCUGCACAGGCCUGGCCACCCGUGAACCAGCAACACCAUGGAAGGCAGCAUCCACAGGAAUCUGUACUGUGACGGGCAGAAAGGAGGCUGAUUUCCUACCUCUCGAACAGACUGGGUGAGAGCAACUGGAUUCAUUCCUGGUGACUGCCUGUGAGGGCAGUGCAGUGUGUACACAUCCCAAGAACAGAUUAUAGCUCUGACUUUAUGACGAAAUAUCUUCUGAUUGUUGAAGAAGACACCAUCAACACAUUCACUAUCAGGAAAGUAUGGCACCUCUAGAUCAUUCUACCGGCACUGAUGACGUCUCCCCCAACAACAUUUCCACAGAAGAAUUCCUCAAGAUUCCUCAGAACUUCUGGCUCCUACUUCUCUAGCUUUGUUUGGGUAAUUUCUUUCAUACUGAGAAAGAUAAAUUCAAUAAAAUCAUACUCAAUGAAA
rnacentral:lncRNA from 1 species